rnacentral:rRNA from 1 species
UACGUAGGGGGCAAGCGUUGUCCGGAUUUAUUGGGCGUAAAGAGCUCGUAGGUGGUUCGGUAAGUCGGAUGUGAAAUCUCCAGGCUCAACCUGGAGGGGUCAUUCGAUACUGCCGUGACUAGAGGUCGGUAGGGGAGUGUGGAAUUCCUGGUGGAGCGGUGAAAUGCGCAGAUAUCAGGAGGAACACCCGUAGCGAAAGCGGCUCACUGGACCACAACUGACGCUGAGGCGCGAAAGCUAGGGGAGCGAACAGG